CCGUGCUAGGCGGGGAGUUUGCGGUUCCCUGUAUCGGCAAUCCGCUCUAGCCGGGCACAACUCCCUUUUUCGGGGGUGACAAGGAGUACGGGGUACCACCAGAAGCGUUGAUGGUCAGGUCCCGCGCGAUCGGCAAUCUCGAACCGUGUCAGGGCCGGAAGGCAGCAGCACUCAGAGAACCCGCUGGUGCGCCGCGGUCAAGCCUGAUCGGAGUGACUGGCUGGUAAACCGGACAGCCCGGUCGCCAACAACGAAGGGUGCACGG
rnacentral:SRP_RNA from 1 species